rnacentral:tRNA from 1 species
CAAGGAAUAGUUUAAUUUAGAAUCCUAUCUUUGGGAGCUAGGGGUAGGAG